AUUGAACGCUGGCGGCAGGCCUAACACAUGCAAGUCGAGCGGCAGCGGGAAAGUAGCUUGCUACUUUUGCCGGCGAGCGGCGGACGGGUGAGUAAUGCCUGGGAAAUUGCCCAGUCGAGGGGGAUAACAGUUGGAAACGACUGCUAAUACCGCAUACGCCCUACGGGGGAAAGCAGGGGACCUUCGGGCCUUGCGCGAUUGGACAUUCCCGGGUGGGAUUAGCUAGUUGGUGAGGUAAUGGCUCACCAAGGGGACGAGCCCUAGCUGGUCUGAGAGGAUGAUCAGCCACACUGGAACUGAGACACGGUCCAGACUCCUACGGGGGGCAGCAGUGGGGAAUAUUGCACAAUGGGGGAAACCCUGAUGCAGCCAUGCCGCGUGUGUGAAGAAGGCCUUCGGGUUGUAAAGCACUUUCAGCGAGGAGGAAAGGUUGAUGCCUAAUACGUAUCAACUGUGACGUUACUCGCAGAAGAAGCACCGGCUAACUCCGUGCCAGCAGCCGCAGUAAGAC
rnacentral:rRNA from 1 species